UGGGGAAUAUUGCACAAUGGGCGCAAGCCUGAUGCAGCGACGCCGCGUGAGGGAUGACGGCCUUCGGGUUGUAAACCUCUUUCAAUAGGGACGAAGCGCAAGUGACGGUACCUAUAGAAGAAGGACCGGCCAACUACGUGCCAGCAGCCGCGGUAAUACGUAGGGUCCGAGCGUUGUCCGGAAUUACUGGGCGUAAAGAGCUCGUAGGUGGUUUGUCGCGUUGUUCGUGAAAACUCACAGCUUAACUGUGGGCGUGCGGGCGAUACGGGCAGACUAGAGUACUGCAGGGGAUACUGGAAUUCCUGGUGUAGCGGUGGAAUGCGCAGAUAUCAGGAGGAACACCGGUGGCGAAGGCGGGUCUCUGGGCAGUAACUGACGCUGAGGAGCGAAAGCGUGGGGAGCGAACA
rnacentral:rRNA from 1 species